rnacentral:ncRNA from 2 species
AGUACGAAUACGAACCGUGAAAGCGUGGCC